rnacentral:rRNA from 1 species
GAAACGACUGCUAAUACCGCAUGACGCAUAGAGGUCGCAUGAUCUUUAUGCCAAAGAUUUAUCGCUUCAAGAUGGCCUCGCGUCUGAUUAGCUGGUUGGCGGGGUAACGGCCCACCAAGGCGACGAUCAGUAGCCGGACUGAGAGGUUGAACGGCCACAUUGGGACUGAGAUACGGCCCAGACUCCUACGGGAGGCAGCAGUGGGGAAUAUUGGGCAAUGGGCGCAAGCCUGACCCAGCAACGCCGCGUGAAGGAAGAAGGCUUUCGGGUUGUAAACUUCUUUUAAGAGGGAAGAGCAGAAGACGGUACCUCUAGAAUAAGCCACGGCUAACUACGUGCCAGCAGCCGCGGUAAUACGUAGGUGGCAAGCGUUGUCCGGAUUUACUGGGUGUAAAGGGCGUGCAGCCGGGUCUGCAAGUCAGAUGUGAAAUCCAUGGGCUCAACCCAUGAACUGCAUUUGAAACUGUAGAUCUUGAGUGUCGGAGGGGCAAUCGGAAUUCCUAGUGUAGCGGUGAAAUGCGUAGAUAUUAGGAGGAACACCAGUGGCGAAGGCGGAUUGCUGGACGAUAACUGACGGUGAGGCGCGAAAGUGUGGGGAGCAAACAGGAUUAGAUACCCUGGUAGUCCACACUGUAAACGAUGAAUACUAGGUGUGCGGGGACUGACCCCCUGCGUGCC